rnacentral:misc_RNA from 1 species
GUCCAGUCAAAAAAAGGUUCAAGAAAAGAAACGAGAAGACCCAACCACCACCCACCACAGUGGUUACUAUGGUGCCCAGCUCACCUCAUCUUGUCUUCUUCUGCUUCUUCAUCCUCUUCUCCGCCACUUCCACCACCGCCACUGACCACAUUGUGGGUGCUAACAAAGGCUGGAAUCCUGGCAUCAACUACACUCUAUGGGCCAAUAACUCCACCUUCUAUGUUGGCGACCUUAUCUCAUUUAGGUACCAAAAGACCCAGUACAAUGUGUUUGAAGUGAACCAGACUGGCUAUGACAACUGCACCACAGAGGGAGCACUAGGCAACUGGAGUAGUGGUAAAGAUUUCAUACCUCUUAACAAGGCCAAGAGGUACUACUUCAUAUGUGGGAAUGGGCAGUGCUUCAAUGGCAUGAAGGUUUCUGUUCUUGUUCAUCCUUUGUCUCCUCCACCAUCAUCUAGCGUUUCUGCUGCUAACCAGACUUCACCUGAUUCUGCUGCUCCGGUGGUUUUGCAGAAGGGGUUGGUAGGUUUUAGGGCUUUUAUUGUGGCAUUUACUUC